rnacentral:rRNA from 1 species
UCGGGAAUUUUGGGCAAUGGGCGAAAGCCUGACCCAGCAACGCCGCGUGAGGGAUGAAGUAUUUCGGUAUGUAAACCUCGAAAGAACGGGAAGAAUAAAUGACGGUACCAUUUAUAAGCUCCGGCUAACUACGUGCCAGCAGCCGCGGUAAUACGUAGGGAGCAAGCGUUGUUCGGAUUUACUGGGCGUAAAGGGCGCGUAGGCGGCGCGGUAAGUCACUUGUGAAAUCUCUGAGCUUAACUCAGAACGGCCAAGUGAUACUGCUGUGCUAGAGUGCGGAAGAGGCAACCGGAAUUCUUGGUGUAGCGGUGAAAUGCGUAGAUAUCAAGAGGAACACCUGAGGCGAAGGCGGGUUGCUGGGCCGACACUGACGCUGAUGCGCGAAAGCAUGGGGAGCGAACG